rnacentral:rRNA from 1 species
ACAUGCAAGUCGAACGGCAGCGGGGGAGAAGCUUGCUUUUCCUGCCGGCGAGUGGCGAACGGGUGAGUAAUACAUCGGAACGUGCCCUGUAGUGGGGGAUAACUAGUCGAAAGAUUAGCUAAUACCGCAUACGACCUGAGGGUGAAAGUGGGGGACCGCAAGGCCUCAUGCUAUAGGAGCGGCCGAUGUCUGAUUAGCUAGUUGGUGGGGUAAAGGCCUACCAAGGCGACGAUCAGUAGCUGGUCUGAGAGGACGAUCAGCCACACUGGGACUGAGACACGGCCCAGACUCCUACGGGAGGCAGCAGUGGGGAAUUUUGGACAAUGGGCGAAAGCCUGAUCCAGCAAUGCCGCGUGUGUGAAGAAGGCCUUCGGGUUGUAAAGCACUUUUGUCCGGAAAGAAAUGGCUCUGGUUAAUACCUGGGGUCGAUGACGGUACCGGAAGAAUAAGGACCGGCUAACUACGUGCCAGCAGCCGCGGUAAUACGUAGGGUCCAAGCGUUAAUCGGAAUUACUGGGCGUAAAGCGUGCGCAGGCGGUUGUGCAAGACCGAUGUGAAAUCCCCGAGCUUAACUUGGGAAUUGCAUUGGUGACUGCACGGCUAGAGUGUGUCAGAGGGGGGUAGAAUUCCACGUGUAGCAGUGAAAUGCGUAGAGAUGUGGAGGAAUACCGAUGGCGAAGGCAGCCCCCUGGGAUAACACUGACGCUCAU